AGCCUGGAACCAGUAAACGUGCUUUGACUUAAGUAAUUAAACCGACCUGCACAGUCAUCCAGGGUUGUAAAUGAAUUUGAAGUUCUAGCCUGGAGACCAGAGGCCUCAAUUUGGAGAUGAAAGAAGAACUUUUAUAAUGUUUGAUCAGACUUCUUCUCCUGCAAUCAGUCAAGACUCAACUGGAGAAAACUGGCAAUUAACCUCUGAUUGAUGCAGGUCAAACUCAGAAUUAUUAAGAGUAGAACAGUGGGAUCUUUUCAUAGAAAAACCAUCUGCUUCUUCUGUUUCUUCUAGACUCAUCUUUGAUAAUUCUCAGCAAGUCAAAGCAGGCCUUGUGUAUUGCUGAUUCUCGUCUGUGUUUUUUAUGUUCUACCUUGAUGACUGGUGGGACUCUGGGAAAGCAGGAAGGGCGGCGGCGACGACAGUUAUUUUUAGUCCAGGGGAUCCGAGGAUCGACAAUAUCUUACCCCGCUCAUCUGACCUCCAUGGACCGGAGAGCUCUGAGUCAGACAUGCCGUCUUCAGUGAAGAGGCUGAAUGAGGGGAAUCAUUGAUUUCCUCUGUUUUUAUCUGAAAAAAAAUAGCAUCAGCUGUCAUAAUAUAGUCUUAUAUCAAUAAAAGCAUGAUUUAA